GAGAGAGAGAGGAGAGAGACAGAGAGACAGACAGAGAGAGAGAGAGAGAGAGUGAGAAACAGAGAGAUGUUGCAUCAUACAUAUUGAUAACAUUGACACUUGAUACAUGUAUUUACCCUGUUAACGCAACCACCGUAUUCUUAAUCAUCCUUGUCUGUGUGAAUAUAUAUUAGGUGACAUAAUGAUCUCGAAGGCAUUCAAAUGGUAGUGUGUUUAUGGCAACGAAUAUCCAUAGGCACAUGUCAAAGUGGAUCCUGUCCUGCUUUGCACUGUUCGAAUUGCUACAAUAAUGGAGGUACAAUGCCUUAUAUGCAGUAAACCGAAGCUCACGGUCUCACUUUGUUGUCUACGAGCUUAUGGCUUUGGUGAGCGCCUUGGAGGAGAUGCAGAAUCAUUUUCAAGAACCGUUAUCAGCACAUAAGGAUCAGAAGAAAACGGAGAAGCGAAAGAAAACGGAGAAGCGAAAAAAAAGUCAUCAGCUGGGCAAAAAGCGCAAAUCCAAAGUCCUUACGGAGGAUAUUGUUAAAAUUAACUUUUCAUGAGCGUCUCUUGUGGUGGAGGAAUGUAAUGCAGAACGACCUCGAGAGAACCCAGUGGAGGAAGUCACACUUGUCUAGAAGUGCAGAUGCGAAAGGUAAAAUCUCGUAAGGAAGGGGUUAGGGGGAUAAUUUUGUCUCAUUCAGAUCCAGCUGAGCUUUGACCGAUCUGCAUGUAGCCGAGUCACUCCAUGGAAUUCGCUAUAGCAGCAGAAAGAUUAAAUGAACUUACGAACCAAAUGCACUCGAGUGUACAAUCAAAUUGUGUCGAAGUGUCAAAACCUACUCGUUCUCUCAUCACCCGGUGUAGCAUCAGUUCUCGCAUUUAAAAGCAAUGCAACAGCUUUCUCAAUUGCAGAUGUGAUGCUGAAGGUAAAGCCUCGUCCACAAGUCACGUAGUCAACACGUGAAUUACGUCUCAGGCAAUAUCACCAUUCAUGCAUGGCUUUUAUUUCAAUAUUCCGGUUUUGAGAGCACGUUCACAUUGCUAUAAGCCACUUACAGGUUCAUAACGGAGUGCACUGAUCUUAAUUUCAUUACUACUGACUCUGAUCUUCUAUUAGAUUCCACAUUGAAAGCAACGAAUCUUAUUAUUAUUAUUAUUAUUAGUCUUAUAAGUCUUAUUAUCCGUGUCUUUGUGUUUGUUAAGCAAUAUUUUUAUAUUUUGGAAUAAUAUUGCUAAGUCAGUCGUUCUAGUAAUUCUGUUGUGCUUCUGCUAUGGUAAAAAAUGGACGAGGAAUAGAGGAGUUUGACAGUA
rnacentral:lncRNA from 1 species